rnacentral:rRNA from 1 species
UGGGGAAUAUUGGGGCAAUGGGGCGCAAGCCUGACCCAGCAACGCCGCGUGAAGGAAGAGGGCUUUCGGGUUGUAAACUUCUUUUAUCAGGGACGAAGACAAUGACGGUACCUGAUGAAUAAGCCACGGCUAACUACGUACCAGCAGCCGCGGUAAUACGUAGGUGGCAAGCGUUAUCCGGAUUUACUGGGUGUAAAGGGCGUGUAGGCGGGACUGCAAGUCAGAUGUGAAAACUAUGGGCUCAACCCAUAGCCUGCAUUUGAAACUGUAGUUCUUGAGUGUCGGAGAGGCAAUCGGAAUUCCGUGUGUAGCGGUGAAAUGCGUAGAUAUACGGAGGAACACCAGUG